UCUAACUAUCCAUAAAAAAUCAAAAUACAUCUUCCCCAAAAAUCUUCUACCUAACCUUCAAGUCUUCAACUUUCACUCUGCAAAUCAAAGUUUUUUUAAUUACCAACCGCCCUUUUCUUUAAUUGAUCUAUACUAACAGUAUCUCAACUUUCCAAUCCUACAAGGCUACAAGGAUUGGUAACAAACUAUUGCUUAACAUAAAAGAAACUCGCUGGAAAUUUUACUGGAGCGGCGGCCGGAAAGCAAAAACAUCACGGCGGCGGCUGGACAUCGUAAGAACCGGUAGUAGGAGGUAGUUGACGGGGUGGUUGGUGGUGGCACAACAGCAUCUCGACAGACAUACAAGGCUUUAGAGGAAAUCGGUUUGUAAAUUUUUUGGGGUUUUUUAGUCAAAUUGUUACAAUUCCAUUGGAAUGGAAAACUUUCCAUAGGUUUAGUGAUGGAAUUGUAGAUUCUGUGUUUCAAGGAAUUUGAAGGAAAGUUUUGAAAUCCAAUUACAUUAUUUUUCCAACCAAACAACAUAUGGAAUGGAAGUCAAAUUCCAAUUCCUUUGAAUUUUCAUGAAUUCCAUGAACCAAACAUGCCCUUAGUUGUAGAGUUAUAUUAGAAAGAUGGUUGUAGAUUGAGGGGUACUCUACAAAAUUGAUUUGAAAAUUGUUGAAUACGACGUAAUGUCUUAUUCGGUGAAUAGGAUAGUGGUUUGGACACUGUAUAGCAAAGGGAAAUGAUCAUGGAAACUCUUAUAUCCAAGGAGAUUGCAAAUUUUAUAGAAUGGUUCAGUGGAAGUGUUUUUGAAGGUUAGUGGUACAACCUUGCUAUUGUAAUGUUUUUUGGUUUGUAAUGGUUUAUUUUACGCCUUGUAAAAUAAAAGUUUUGGAUAUUUAUACUUU